UUUAAUUCCUAGGAGAUCUUACAUCCUCUUCUGGUAUCUUUGGGCAAACAUCCAUACACAUAAAGAUAAAUGCAUAAAAUUUAAAAAGAAAAACCUUAUAAAAGUGAAUUGUAAAUGUAAGAGUAUUCACAAAUAUAUAUGUGUAUGUAUGUAUGUGUAUAUAUAUAUAUAUAUUUUUUUUUUAAUUUAUUUUUUUGAGACAGGGUUUCUCUGUGUAGCCCUGGCUGUCCUGGCACUCACUUUGUAGACCAGGCUGGCCUUGAACUCAGAAAUCUGCCUGCCUUUGCCUCCAAGUACUGGGAUCAAAGGCGUGUGCCACCACCGUCCGGCCCCAUAUUUUAUAACUGAGAAAGCUGAAAACUGUAAUUUAUGACAUUGUUCAACAAGAGGAAAGGUGUUCAUCUGAGGAUAUAACCCAGUUCAUAGAGUGGAGGCUUGCUUAGCAUUCGUGAAUGGAGUCCAAGGCGGUUCCAUCCUCUGUACCACAUAAAACUGGACGAUGUUGCUACACAUCGACAAUCGUAGCACUUGAGAGAUAGAGGCAGGAUAAGAAGUUUGAGGUCAUCUUGGGCUCUUGAGAUCUUGUCUUAUAAGAACAACAAAGUGGGACCUAAAGAGAUGGCCAAAUGGUUAUGAGCACAACUGCAUGCACCUAAUUUUAGUAAUGAUGAAAAAAAGGACUGGAUUCCAAUAUUUUUGGACUGAAAUUGAGCUGGCAAGUAUUUUUUUAUUAUUCUUGCUAAUUCAGUUAGUUUUACUAUACUGACUUGGAGCUUGUUAAUUCUAAUGAGUUAGAAUUCUAAUUCAGGAUAAGCAAGAAGGCUUAGCAAGUAAAAGGUGCUUGCUGCCAAGGCUGCUGACACGAGCUGUAUACAUGCAACCAACAUGGUCAAGGAAAGGACCAAGUCCUCAACCAGUUGUCUUCUGAGCUUCAUGUGUACUCAGUGAUGUGUGUAGUCUCCAUACCCUGUACUUAAAACAGAAUUAAAAAAAUAUUCUAAUUCAGAAAUGAAGUUAAUGUAGGCUUUUAGAUGUGAAUGUAAUUAAUAGUCAUGAGAUUGCAAACUCUUGUCGAGAUGAUUUUUUCCAUGCUAUUCAUAGCUGUUUUAUCAUUUCAUAAGUAAUAGGGUGUACUCUGAACUAAGGUCAUCUAGAUUCAUGUCUUGGUGGUUCCACUGUUGCUCUUGGGAGAAGCAAGAGAAACUCCUUUAAGUGUACGUCCCUGAACUCUUCUGUAAAGAAAGUGGGGAAAAUACACACCAGCUCAGAGGUUUGUUUGUAAGGUAUAAAUGAGACUCGCCCAUAUAUAAAAAAUAGUAUAGUUGGUUGUUACUUUAUUAUGUAUUCUAAAAUUUAAAAAGAUAAAAAGUUUUAUAUGAUUUUUGUUAAGCGAUUAGGGGCAAGUUUUACUGAAGUGACAAGGCUGUUUAUAAUCUUAUUCACAUGGAAUAAACAGACACUUUCUUAGAAGCAUGUGUGUGCCUGUGCUACUGCCACAGUUUACAUCAAACAAUACGUUAGGCAAUGCUAUAUGUGGGAUAUGGAUUUAUAAUUUCUAGAACACACCUAGAAUCAAGGUCUUAGGGGAAGGAUUUGAGCAUUAAUAGUGAAUGGCGUAUUACAUAGCUGAAUGCUGUUUUCUCAGUCAGAGGAUCAAGAUUUGUAAUAAUUUUAGGAAUCUCCCUUGGUCAGUUGCUAAUUUAAUUGUUGAUUAUUAAGUGUUCUUUGAAUUUUAAGGAGAAUAAUGAUUCCCAUCUAUUAAUUUGAAUGUAGAAUUAGUAUUGCUUGUAAUCUUGCUUUUAUUAUACAUUUUGAAGUUAAUCUCUCCUGUUAUUUGUAUUAUUUUGUUGGAGACAUAGUCUUCUUCAUAACCUACACUGGCCUUGAAUUCAGGGUGUUUCCAUCUUAGCUUCCUGAGAGAUGAAAUUAUACCAUUCCUAGACAGAAUGAAUGUAUUUUUACUCUGUUAUCUUGUUCUAGACCAGCCAGGGCUACCACCAUAGUGAGACUGCCUUGAAAAGAGAAAGAAAAUCCAUUCUUCAACCAACUCUGGUCAUGUAAAAUGAAGUUGGGAAUUUAGAGGCUGAUGGUACUUUGAUUUAUUUUAUUUUUAAUUAUGUGCACAAGAGUGCAGGUGUCCAUGGACGCUAAAAUUUGGUUCCCUUAGGACCUGCUACCCAACGAGGGCACUGGAAACUGAACUUGCAUUCUCAGGAAGAGCAGAGCACUGUGCUCUGACUCACUGAGCCAUGGAGGGUGAUAAUUGUUUUGAUUAUUCAUUAAACCUUGCUUUAAAUAGAAGGCUUAAAAAAUAAGAUUGAAGUCAGGCAGUGGUGGCACACAUCUUUAGUCCCAGCACUCAGAAGGCAGAGGCAGGCAGAUCUCUGAGUCCAAGGCCAGCCUGGCCUACAAAGUGAGUUUUAGGACAGCCAAGGCUACACAGAGAAACCCUGUCUCAAAUCAAGAAAAAAAAUUUAAGAUUUACUUGCGUUUGUAUGUUUUUUUCUUAGUGUUUUUCUUUUCCCUGGAAUUCUUUUCCAUCAAUAAAAUUGGAAAAUAUUUUAAUAAAAAUCUGUAAACUAUCGAAUACAAGAUUUUUUGUUCAUGUAUUUUCUUUG
rnacentral:lncRNA from 1 species